AACGAACGCUGGCGGCGCGCCUAAUACAUGCAGUCGAACGAGAAGCUGUAGCAAUACAGUUGUACAGUGGCGAACGGGUGAGGAAUACAUGGGUGACCUACCCUCGAGUGGGGAAUAACCAGCCGAAAGGUUGGCUAAUACCGCGUACGCUUCCCAGUCUACGGGUUGGAAGGAAAGCGAUGCCGUGGGUAUCGUGCUCAAGGUUGGGCUCAUGUCCUAUCAGCUGUUGGUGGGGUAACGGCUCACCAAGGCAACGACGGGUAGCUGGUCUGAGAGGACGAUCAGCCACACUGGCACUGCGACACGGGCCAGACUCCUACGGGAGGCAGCAGUAAGGAAUAUUGCGCAAUGGGCGAAAGCCUGACGCAGCGACGCCGCGUGGGGGAUGAAGGUCUUCGGAUUGUAAACCCCUUUCGGGAGGGAAGAUGGAACGAGCAAUCGUUCGGACGGUACCUCCAGAAGCAGCCACGGCUAACUUCGUGCCAGCAGCCGCGGUAAC
rnacentral:rRNA from 1 species